GACGAACGCUGGCGGCGUGGAUUAGGCAUGCAAGUCGAACGGUAUCAUCCUUUCGGGGGUGAGAGAGUGGCGAACUGGUGAGUAACACGUAGGUUAUCUACCCUCAAGACGGGGACAACCCAGGGAAACUUGGGCUAAUACCGGAUGUGAGCAACUUUUAGUUGUUUGAAAGGUGGCGUAAGCUGUCGCUUGGGGAUGAGCCUGCGUCCUAUUAGUUAGUUGGUGAGGUAACGGCUCACCUAGGCAAUGAUAGGUAGGCGGCCUUAACGGGUGGUCGCCCACACUGGGAUUGAGAUACGGCCCAGACUCCUACGGGAGGCAGCAGUCGAGAAUAGUCUACAAUGGUCGGAAGACUGAUAGUGCGACGCCGCGUGAACGAUGAAUCCCUUCGGGGGUUAAAGUUCUUUUAUAUGUGAGCAGUGCUUUCUUAUAUUAACAGUAUGGGGAAGAGAUAUUAGCAUAUGAAUAAGCAACGGCUAACUCCGUGCCAGCAGCCGACGGUAAAA
rnacentral:rRNA from 1 species